GUCUUUUUGAGUUAUUUUUAAAGUCUGACCUGCCCACUGAAUUUUUAAAUGGCCGCAGUAUUUUAACUGUGCAAAGGUAGCAUAAUCAUUAGUCUUUUAAUUGAAGGCUGGUAUGAAUGGUUGGACGAAGUAUAAGCUGUUUCAUAUAUAUUUAUAUUAGAAUUUUAUUUUUUAGUUAAAAAGCUAAAAUAAUAUUAAAAGACGAGAAGACCCUAUAAAUCUUUAUAUUGUUUUAUAGUUUAAAUUUUUUGGAUUUUUUUUAUUUUUAUUUAAAAUAGUAUUUUGUUGGGGUGAUGUUAAAAUUUAAUAAACUUUUAAUUAUUUGUUUGAUCAUUAAUUUAUGAAUUGUUGAUCCAUUAGUAGUGAUUAUAAGAUUAAGUUACUUUAGGGAUAACAGCGUAAUUUUUUUGGAGAGUUCAUAUCGAUAAAAAAGUUUGCGACCUCGAUGUUGGAUUAAGAAAUAGGUUUAGGUGUAGCUGCUUAAAUGUUAAGUCUGUUCGACUUUUAAAUUCUU
rnacentral:rRNA from 1 species